rnacentral:misc_RNA from 1 species
GAUGAAGAACGCAGUGAAAUGCGAUAAGUAAUGUGAAUUGCAGAAUUCAGUGAAUCAUCGAAUCUUUGAACGCACCUUGCGCCCUUUGGCCAUUCCGAAGGGCAUGCCUGUUUGAGUAUCAUGAACACCUCAACUCUUCAUGGUUUUCCGUGAUGAGCUUGGACUUUGGGGGUCUUGCUGGCCUAUGGUCAGCUCCUCUAAAAUAAAUCAGCUUGCCAGUGUUUGGUGGGUAUCACAGGUGUGAUAACUAUCUACUCUUGUGGUUUUCCACCAGGUAACCUUCAGCAGUGGAGGUUCGCUGGAGCUCACAGAUGUGUCUCUCCUCAGUGAGGACAGCUCUUUGAAUGUUUGAUCUCAAAUCAGGUAGGACUACCCGCUGAACUUAAGCAUAUCAAUAAGCGGAGGA